CAAAGCUAAUGAUGAUGCAAGUUAUCCCUGUCUUAGUGUAGAGAUGCCGAUAUUUAUUCUAUCUGAAGCUUGU